GUGCUGAUCUAUGUACUUCUAUAUAGGGUCUGGAGGAUAGUAGAAGGCUGAGGGAUUGUGAGAUGAUCCUACAAGUAAAAAAUAAAGUAAGAGUUGCUGUUGUGGCUGUGGAGAAUAUCCUUUGCGACUACCAUCAGAAUUUAGUUUAAUUCUUAGGGAUUGUUAUUUUAUACCUGUGACUAGCAAAAAUUUGAUUUUUGU
rnacentral:lncRNA from 1 species